rnacentral:lncRNA from 1 species
CAAAAAUUCAUUUGAAAAAAAAUCUGGUUAGAUUUCAUGGUAAUCUCUCCAGGGACACAAUAAUAAAUGCAGAGAGGUGUUCAUAAAGAGCAAUAUCAGAUGGCACCCCAAAAAAGGAUAUGAAAGAACACCAAAAGGGAACUCUAAAGAUUUAGUUGGAAAAGUAGAUGCAGAGAGGUGUUCAUAAAGAGCAAUAUCAGAUGGCACCCCAAAAAAGGAUAUGAAAGAACACCAAAAGGGAACUCUAAAGAUUUAGUUGGAAAACACCGGGUUUACAUCAUACACUGCCUUGUAUUCCAGUAAUCUGUAUGAGUGUCUUCUUUUCUACCUGAUUAUACAGUCCUUAACUGGCUGAUUCAUCACUAUUGUCUGUAGCAUUCUACAACAAACAGUAAGCAGUUAAUAUCUGCUAAAUGACAAAAUGUACUAAAAUUUACAUUAAAAAAUAAAUUCAUGCUUACCAUCAGAACAUAA